rnacentral:rRNA from 1 species
AGAAUCAACGCUGGCGGCGUGCCUAACACAUGCAAGUCGCACGAGAAAGUGGAGCAAUCCACGAGUACAGUGGCGCACGGGUGAGUAACACGUGACUUAUCUACCUCCGAGUGGGGAAUAACUGAGAGAAAUCUUAGCUAAUACCGCAUAACACUUACGAGUCAAAGCAGCAAUGCGCUUGGAGAGGAGGUCGCGGCCGAUUAGCUAGUUGGCGGGUAAUGGCCCACCAAGGCGAUGAUCGGUA